rnacentral:rRNA from 1 species
GUGCCAGCAGCCGCGGUAAUACGGAGGGGGCUAGCGUUGUUCGGAAUUACUGGGCGUAAAGGGCGCGUAGGCGGCUUGCUAAGUCGGUGGUGAAAUCCCGUGGCUCAACUACGGAACUGCCAUCGAUACUGGCGAGCUUGAAUCCGGGAUAGGUCGGCGGAAUUGCUGGUGUAGCGGUGAAAUGCGUAGAUAUCAGCAGGAACACCGAUGGCGAAGGCAGCUGGCUGGACCGGUAUUGACGCUGAGGCGCGAAAGCGUGGGUAGCAAACAGGAUUAGAAACCCUUGUAGUCC